AGCGAACGCUGGCGGCAGGCUUAACACAUGCAAGUCGAGCGGGCACUUCGGUGUCAGCGGCAGACGGGUGAGUAACACGUGGGAACGUACCCUUUGGUUCGGAAUAACGCUGGGAAACUAGCGCUAAUACCGGAUACGCCCUUUUGGGGAAAGGCUUGCUGCCGAAGGAUCGGCCCGCGUCUGAUUAGCUAGUUGGUGGGGUAAUGGCCUACCAAGGCGACGAUCAGUAGCUGGUCUGAGAGGAUGAUCAGCCACACUGGGACUGAGACACGGACCAGACUCCUACGGGAGGCAGCAGUGGGGAAUAUUGGACAAUGGGCGCAAGCCUGAUCCAGCCAUGCCGCGUGAGUGAUGAAGGCCUUAGGGUUGUAAAGCUCUUUUGUCCGGGACGAUAAUGACGGUACCGGAAGAAUAAGCCCCGGCUAACUUCGUG
rnacentral:rRNA from 1 species